rnacentral:rRNA from 1 species
GAUGAACGCUGGCGGCGUGCCUAAUACAUGCCAGUCGAGCGAACGGACGAGAAGCUUGCUUCUCUGAUGUUAGCGGCGGACGGGUGAGUAACACGUGGAUAACCUACCUAUAAGACUGGGAUAACUUCGGGAAACCGGAGCUAAUACCGGAUAAUAUUUUGAACCGCAUGGUUCAAAAGUGAAAGACGGUCUUGCUGUCACUUAUAGAUGGAUCCGCGCUGCAUUAGCUAGUUGGUAAGGUAACGGCUUACCAAGGCAACGAUGCAUAGCCGACCUGAGAGGGUGAUCGGCCACACUGGAACUGAGACACGGUCCAGACUCCUACGGGAGGCAGCAGUAGGGAAUCUUCCGCAACGGGCGAAAGCCUGACGGAGCAACGCCGCGUGAGUGAUGAAGGUCUUCGGAUCGUAAAACUCUGUUAUUAGGGAAGAACAUAUGUGUAAGUAACUGUGCACAUCUUGACGGUACCUAAUCAGAAAGCCACGGCUAACUACGUG